UUUCUACCAGUGGCUCCCCACGAGAAGUUCAGUGAUCCAGCAUUAACAGCAGGAGCCUUCUAAAGCAGCCUGGUUUUGUGUUUUGUUUUGUUUUUUUUGAGGGGAUGGCAAUUUUUCUCCCCCUAUAGCUUGAGGUGUCGAGUAUUUCUCUUUGCAAUUCUAAUCAAUCAGCACACAGGCA